rnacentral:rRNA from 1 species
AGUUUGAUCAUGGCUCAGAUUGAACGCUGGCGGCAUGCCUUACACAUGCAAGUCGAACGGCAGCACGGGAGCUUGCUCCUGGUGGCGAGCGGCGAACGGGUGAGUAAUGCAUCGGAACGUGCCCUGAAGUGGGGGAUAACGUAGCGAAAGUUACGCUAAUACCGCAUAUUCUGUGAGCAGGAAAGCAGGGGAUCUUCGGACCUUGCGCUUUUGAAGCGGCCGAUGUCGGAUUAGCUAGUUGGUGGGGUAAAGGCCCACCAAGGCGACGAUCCGUAGCGGGGUCUGAGAGGAUGAUCCGCCACACUGGAACUGAGACACGGUCCAGACUCCUACGGGAGGCAGCAGUGGGGAAUUUUGGACAAUGGGCGCAAGCCUGAUCCAGCCAUGCCGCGUGAGUGAAGAAGGCCUUCGGGUUGUAAAGCUCUUUCGGUGGGGAAGAAAUUGCUUGGGUUAAUACCCUGAGUAGAUGACGGUACCCGCAUAAGAAGCACCGGCUAACUACGUG